AACUUCCGGUAGACUAGUGGUUAAAACGUCCGUCUUUGAUGCGGGAGGUCGCGGGUUCAAUCCAUGGUCGAGUCA